CCAAUCUCCGGGCGCCCGCCGCUUGACUCCCAGGCUGCUGCUUCCGCAAAGCCGCGCCCACAGAGCCGAGGCCACGCCUCCACCGUGACCAACUCGUGAGGUGAAGUAAGAAGAAGCAACUGAGAUGAGGCAGCCCCGAUGAAAUAUUAACUUGGCAUCUAACUAAUAAGAGGGACGACAAUGUGGGCGGGGCCGCGAGUGGGCGGAGCGAAAGCCGGAGCGAGCCCAAGUGGUCGUCACGCGUCCGAGAGCGUCCCGAGAAGCGCACGCGAGCCCGGUCUUCUCUUUUUGUUCAGCAGAGAAGGAAUCUUUUGCCCGAGUCUUGGACAAUGAUGUCAUUUGUCGCUGUGUGCUUAAAAUAGUCAAAUGAAGACAGUACACCACACCAGAGCCGUAUGAGAUCACACACUUCAUCUCCUACCGUGGAAACCACAACGCACACACGCGCGCACCGGGGACGCCAACGCUGUGGCAGCCGACGGCGCGGCCAGCAACAGCCUACGGCGGCUGGCUAUCAGUAGCGGUGUCACUCACGCACGCAAAGUCGCCGUCCUCGCCCCGUUUGCACGCAGAGAGUCAGGUCGGGGAGAUCUCGGUCGAGAGCCCCAGAAGCUCUUGCGCUAAGUCAUCCCCAGGAAAAGCCCGACGGAGGCUGCCGAAGGAGGCUGCCGAAGGAGGCUGCCGAAGGAGGCUGCCGAAGGAGGCUGCCGAAGGAGGCUGCCGAAGGAGGCUGCCGAAGCGGCUCGCACAUGCGUCCAGAGCAUAUUGGAAAGGGGAGGGGAGGAAAUAUAUAAAUAAAUAAAAAGGCAAAGGG